AGAGGUAGUAGAACAAUAUUUUGU
rnacentral:piRNA from 1 species